AAUCGGUAGACGCUACGGACUUAAAAUCCGUCGACUUUAUAAAUCGUGA
rnacentral:tRNA from 2 species